rnacentral:lncRNA from 1 species
CAGUGAUUCAGGGAGCUGGACAGCCCUGAGUCCCUCCACUAAGACGUUAGUCAAUCAAGGAGCCCCGUCUACACUGGAGAGAGAUGCACUUUUCAGAUUUGCUCGUCUGCCUUCAGGGGGAUGGAGAGCAGUGGGCGCAGGGGGAGAAUCAGAGCUGAUGCAUGUCCAGGAAGCUAUCUUGGAGGAGCUCUCUUUUCUCUCUGGACUAGGAUGCCCUCACAGCUGUUGGCAGCCAUCUUGUGGCCAAGAGGGAAGGCAGACUCAGGCAGAAUGCAGAGUGAAGAGAUGGAAAGAAACAAGCUUCUUGGAUACUCUGCUGAGCUGCUAACUAAGCUUAGCUGAAACCUGUGCUGCCUCUGGACUUGUUGGUUGCAGGGGCCAAUAAGUUCUCUUAAUUCAUUAGUUUUGUAUUACUUGGGAAUGAGCCGUUUCUAAGUGAUUUAGAGGGCUACUGCCCCCACAGCGUUCUUCUCUUUGGAAGCAUUUCCAGGCCAUCUUGCAGAUGCAGACUCUGAGUUAAACCCCUGCACUGGGCUCAGGGGACAAUGUGUGGGGGAGGUUAUGGAUCUCUGCAUGGCUGCCAAGGGCCAGCCUCUCCACCCCCUCCGUCAUGCUCCCCUGCCACGGUCCAUAUGUCAGACGAACGCGACAACCACGAAUGAUAGCUAAAUCUCAGAACCUGGAGUGAGGAAAGACGCCUUCUAAUGUUUUUCUUUUUAAUAAAGUGUUGUCUUGAUUUCCUUUCUUGAGAUCUCUCUGCCGUUUUGGAUGAGGUCAGCCAUCAGACAGUGGCCCCAGGGGCUGUCGGAAUUGAAUAUUCAGCUGAAGCUUGGACACCAUGCCUUCCCUGGCCCGUUCCAGCUCUGACAAGCUCUGAUUCUGUGAAAGCUGAUCCGUUAUGGUAAAGGGGCUCCAAGAGUGUCUCCUGUGUGCCAGGCACCCCACAGCCUCUCUCUCCUUUGGCCCGUGUGAGCAGUCAAUUAGUAUUCCCAUUUUGCAGAUGUGGAAACCGAGGCUCUGAGAGGCUAUGUGGGUAACUCAAGACCACACAGAGGCAGAGCUCUGAUUUGAAUUGGGUUCCUUCUGAUACCAAAGCUUCUGUACUUUCCGUGACACCACAUGGGGUGCCCUUGCUAUGGGGUAUUUUAUUUUGUAAAGAUGGUUACCCUACUUUGGAAAAGGUCAGACGGAGUGACACGACAGUAGCCCAAUGGGGAUUUUUUUGGAAUAGUUUUCCACUUUUUUUUUUUUUCUUUUCAUAAACAUACUCAGUUCAGCCAAGGGUGCUUCAAGAGGCCAAUUUUCAGCUUCUGUCCCCACUGAAACCUGGAAGAACGUGAACCGGUGCCAGCAAGCUCGCUGGAUCGUUUUGGAAGCCGCAGAGCUCUGUCGGACUUGGCCUGUUUCUAGCCCGCUGUGUACAAGCGGAGUGAUGUUUGUUGUUUCAGCGGCCGCCGAGCAGAGCUCAGGGAGAGGGUGCAGAGCGCUGGGAGGCCAAGCGUCCUGGGAGGGUAGGGUGUGUGCGCACCACAAACCAGCUUCAAAAAUAUCCACAUUUCAGGGGGGGAAAGCGACCUGACUUCAUCAGCUCUCCUGAUUCAUAUACAAAUUCCCCUGAGGAAACCCUCUCUCCUUCAAGGUGGUCUGGAGUUUAAUUGAGCGUUCCCUGUGUUCACCGGGGGGAGGCUCGAUGAGAGUAGAUAGGUAAAAGAUUUGGAGUAGGGAUAGGUGACCUUACUUUGACCUUGAGCUUUGUCUGGAGUGCUCUGCAUUUAAUAAGAGUCACUAGGACGCUAUUUCUAAGAUGCUUCUCUUCUGUUUUUCUUCUGCUCUUGCUCCUCGGGUGUCCUCUCAGGGAGGAUGGUGGAGGUGGUAAAAGGUCUUCUUGGAUCUUGUGUGGUGACACCAUCAAAUAGUUCCCAGUCCACCCAGCCUCAGCCUCAGGCACGCAGCAGGUUGUAGAGUAGCUGUCAAGUUUUGGGUCAAUGAAUGAAUGAACGAGUGAACGAGUGAAUGGAUGAAUGCAUUUCCUUGAUGCAGCUUUCUGCUCACUGUCAGGGUCUCAGGUGAGCAUAGCAGCUGUCCUUUAUUUUGGAGGGGAUGUCCCCUUACAAAGUGUGUUAACUCUUAGGUGCUUCAGACGACAAUAUCCCUAACAAUUUCACUGAUGUGGAGAGUGUCUGCAUUUUUGUAAGGCUUAUUUCCAAACCUCUGGAGCUCAUGUGUCUUAUCAAGGCCUGCAAUACGUUUGCCACUUCUUGUGCCUCCGGUUUGAUUAACAUGAUGUCAUUGAUAUAGUGAGCUCUACCAUGUCUGUCAUUGAUGAAUGGGAUGCCCUGUAGAAUGUCCAGAUUGUCCAGAUCCCUUUGGACUAUAUUGAGAAAAAGGAUGGGAGAGUUAACAUAGCCCUAGAGUAAGACUGUGAAUUUACCCUUUGUUCUGUGGAAAUGCAGACUGCUUUUGGUACUCUUUCUUGACAGGGAUAGAAAAGAGUACAUUUACCAGAGCCAGGGCUACAUACCAUAUAUUGGAGCUGUGUUAGUCUUCCCCAGCAAAGAUACCACAUCUGGACCAGCAGCUGUGAUGAUAGCUACUACUCAAUUAGUUUGUGGUAGUCUACUGUCAUCCUCCAGGAUCACGUGGUUUUUGUAGGGUCUAGAUGGGUGAAUUAAAUGGGGAUAUUAUGGGGAUCACCACUCCUGCUCCUGAAAUCAUUAAGGGUGGCUCCUUAAAGAUUCCUCUUGGGAUGUGACAUUGUUUUUGAUUUAAUAUCUUGGCAGAGGGAUGGGGGCAGUUUUAGAGGCUUCCACAUGGCUUUCUCCACUAAGAUGGUUCCACAAGUCAAGGAACCAUUAUGGGGAUUCUCUCAACUGCAACAAUGUUCAUUCAACUUAUAUAUUUGAGGACCAGGGAAAUGACACUAGGUGGGUCCACUGUGAGCCAGACUUGGGCCAGGCCUCCACUGAGUACCUGGCCCCGUUAUGCCCCUACUCUUCCAGGGGACUAUGAUGAUCCUGUAACUCAGAUCUGGUGUCUGAGAGUCCUUGAAAGGUGUGGACAUUUUACCUGAGUAAAUGGCGAUAGAUCCUUGUGGGGAAUGACUGGGGGAUUCAUUACUGUUUGUACUUGCUGCAGUGUCCCAGAGUCCUUCCUCAUGGGGACCUGGACUCUCCUUUAAUUGACAGCUUCCAGGUUUGAGAAGCAGACAAGGGAGCAUAACUUUUUAUUGAUGGAGCUUCCCUCAGUUUCCUGUUCAAUCAUCCUUGAUGUCUUGUCAUUGUAUGGUUUGCGAAAUCUCCUCUGGGAGUCCAUCUGUUUCGCCUCUGGGAGCGCUGCAUUCUUCUCACCACUCCCAUAGAUCUCGCGGGUCAGCCCAUGGCUGCCACUGCACCUUGCUAUUCAUUACUAUGGUCGCCCCGACCUUGCUUCCGAUGGUUUAGCACCACCGCCUGACCUCUAUUAUUUUGCGAUCCACUUGCUAUCAUGGAGUCCUGGAGUCCUAUAACAGCAUCUCCCACUAUCAGCCCUAGCCUGUGGAGCGCAGCCACCCUGAACUUCAAUGAUAUCUAUCUCUCUUGCCAGCACGUCACUUGUUGCAUCAGUCGAUGGAGCAUCCUCUAUGCCCACCUGCAGAACAGAGAUGGAGAACAUGUCCACCCCAGUGUGCCCAGCAGGCCCCUGUACGGAGAGAGGGAAGCAAGACCAGGUAGAGGAAAAGUUCAACUGUGACGCAGGUGCAGCAGAGGAUUCCACUGACCCUUGGGGAACUCGGGAGCUGAGAUGGCCUUUCGGGGAUAUCCAGAAUUGAGGCAAGGAGGCGGGGCCUUUGCAUCCCUGUACCAACGAGCCAUCUGAUGUGGGCUUCUGUGGGGAGAGAGGGUAACUGUGGAUGAGGAAAAAGAGAAAAAUUAUUCUGACACUUUUUAAAAGGGUAAGGAAGACUUUGUUCAACACUAUGGCAAUAGGGAAGAGAGAUUGGUCUCAACUCUGAAUACAAGGAUGGGUGGGGAUUUAUCCAAGGAGUAGGGUGAGGGGGUCAGCAGAUAGAAAAUUGCUAAAAGACACAUCAAGGGUAGGGGGAUUCUUGCUAAACUGGUCUAGCAGGAUUCUUGCUAAAGGCAGGCCAAGGACUUAGACCUCAAAGGUGGGGAUGAGAAACUUGAUCAGAUAUCAAGGGUUGGGGGGAACUCUUGUUAAACUGACUUAGCAGGAUUCUUGGUAAGACUAGAUUCAGCAAGAUUGGACACAAAAGCCCCAAGUCGAGGCCUAGUUGAGAAGAGAGCUCAGAGGAGCCUCACUAAAGUUUGGUCAAGCAGAGAGUCUUUGUCAAGGACAACUCCCAGGAUGGACCUCAGCUAUGAGCCGUCAGCAAGUGUGGAGAGUGAGCUCCUUGGUCUUCAGAUGGUCUCAGAUCUACCAGCGUCUAAUAUUAAGGUUCCCUUUGCCUGUUGACUGGUUGUCUGUGGGUAGAUUGAUCAGAGACUGGUAGACGACCUGUUUCGGGGACAAUAGUCAUUUUCUGGCCUUCACAUUUCCUGAAUAAACACUACCUGGGUAGAUUCAAGCAGAGGACUGUUAGGCUGAAGGGAGAAGCAAUGGGGUUAUUGGAAUGAUUAGAGCCAGAAAUGGAAACUUGGUUACUUAAGCCAACUUCCUCUUACCCUUGUUGGGCUGUGCAAGUUAAUGAAUAAAUUGAGUUGGUGUCUGAGCCUCUGCCCUGACUGGGAAGCAGAGAUAAUUAGCC